ensembl:lncRNA
UCAACUCUUUCCAAUUUAUUAUCCAGUGAAUUCCUGCUUGACCAACCUGAUCACCUUCUAUGAUCCAGUGACCCGUCUGGUGGAUGAGGGAAAGGCUGUUGAUGUGCUCUACCUAGACUUCAGCAAAGCCUUUGACACUGUCUCCCACAGUAUUCUCCUGCAGAAGCUGGCAGAUCGUGGCUUGGACAGAUACACUCUUGGCUGCCUCUGCAUCAUGAUAGAACCAAAGAAAUCUGUCUUCUGCCAGAAAACAAGAACCUAGGCUGGUCUAAAAGCGUGAAGAACUUGUGUGGCUCUGUAUGACUCCAGUCUGAUUCUUCUUGCUGAGAAAUUUCCAUUACCCCCUUGAAGGAAUUUAGCAAUGCUAUGCAAUACCACAUGUAGAG